rnacentral:rRNA from 1 species
UACAGAGGGCUCAAGCGUUGUUCGGAUUCAUUGGGCGUAAAGGGCGCGCAGGCGGCCGUGUGUGUGAGGCGUGAAAGCCUGGAGCUUAACUCCAGAAUUGCACCUCAAACUACAUGGCUAGAGCAUUGGAGAGGGUAGCAGAAUUCAUGGUGUAGCAGUGAAAUGCGUAGAUAUCAUGAGGAAUACCAGAGGCGAAGGCGGCUACCUGGACAAUUGCUGACGCUCAGGCACGAAAGCGUGGGGAGCAAAAGGG